CGUCACGUUGAUGACGUUUAAACACUUCCUGGUUGACACAACCCAUGUGUGGUGUCUGCGCUUUUAUUAUUUAGUUUUCUUUGCAGCUACACGUCAUCAUACGACAUUAGCAAGAUGUUUAGUUAAUAAUCAUCCUUAUGCAUCUACAGCAGACCUUUAUUCGGAUACAACUAACACAUUUAGAGCAUAUUUUCGUUCAAGCAUCAAGCGGAUAUAAUUUAUUUAAUUAUUUAUUGCCAAUGAAGACCUCCAAUACUUUGAUUGCUCUCUUUAACUAAACUACACAAUGACUGGAGUGCAUAAUUCUCUAACUUGGACUCGAUCUGAUGACAUUGCUGAAGUUUUAUCAGCGGAGUCAUGCCACAUUGUCCUGGAAACAUCUCAUCCAGACAAUGUGGAGAAAAUAUCCCAGUAUAUUGAGUCCUCUGUUGAUGAUAACGUAUGUGAUGAAACUGCUGAAGCGGAAAGUGACUCAGAAGAUAGCCUGUUCCUAACUCAGAAGUCAGUACCUGAGGCUGUGAGGCCAGCAAGACAACUUUACUAUAGCUUGAGGUCAAAACCAAUAUCUCCCAGAGAUCUAGAAGAAAGCGCAGAAGACAAUUCAUCGUCCGCUUCCUACGAUGAAGAAUCCAAAUCUGACAACAAGAGGAGAAGAAAGAAAUACACGCUGCCAAAAUUCAGUUUCCCUUUCCUUACAGAGCAGAAGUGUAAGCUGUUACCUUCCCAGAACAAAUGCCUUCAUACUUAUCUGAUCGGAGGCUUCUUUGAAAGUGUCAGAGUCGGGGGGCCGAGGCAGGGAGAGGAUCCGGAGUCAUCGUUACCAACAGUUGACUUGGAUGGGGAGUCCAUAUCUCCGUUGUCCGAAGAAGACGAAGAAAGGGCAGAAGAGGAAGACAUCAAAGUGGUGGAGAGGAAACGUUUUGUGGUUUCAUCAAAAGCAAAGAGCCAACAAACCUGGUGCAACCCGUUAAAACAACAAAGAACGGGGAAAGCUAGUAUGCCAAACAAGACGCAU
rnacentral:lncRNA from 1 species